rnacentral:rRNA from 1 species
UCUUUCGUGAGAGUUUGAUCCUGGCUCAGGACGAACGCUGGCGGCGUGCCUAAUACAUGCAAGUCGAGCGAACCGACGAAGUGCUUGCACUUCUGACGUUAGCGGCGGACGGGUGAGUAACACGUAAGGAACCU